CUGAUACAAAGUUGCUGCGACACAGCCUGCACUCGGCAGCUUCCUUAAAGCCGCAGCAGCGGUGGGCGCUUGGGGCGCCGGGCGGUGGCUACGACACCAGGUGGUUUCCGCACUCUGCCCUCGCCCCCCCCCCGCUCGACCGCCCCAAACUUCCUCACGCCCACCCUGCUCUCCUCCUGGCCGACCCCAGGAUAUCUGGAGAGGCGGAAAGUGUGGUGACGCGGAAGAAGUCGGUUUUUCCGCGAGCAAUCAAGGUGUUGUCCCCUCACGCUCUCCACCUGCAGCUCCAGUUAGUUAAGCUUCGGGAUUCCAGACCCCGAACCCAGGGAGAUUCGAACUCUCGGCCGCUCCAGUCGGAAACUCCCUGAAGAUAGGGGCGACAGCGGCGGCGCGGACGAGCUGGUUGUGACCACUGACUGCGGUGCCCUCCAGUCCCGGGCGCGGAGCGGCCCCCGGCGUCCCCGCAGCCAGGAGUCCCCGCCGAGUGCCCCAACUUUCCCGCGGGGCCCGCCGUCACGCGCACUCUCCCGGGCCGGCUAGCAGUCGGGCAUCGAUCGCACCCGGCCGAGCGCGGGCGGCGGGCGGGAGCAGGGGGAGUCCCGUACCCAGCACGCGGGGCGGCGGCGGCUCAGCCAGCGUUGCCGAAUUAUUCAUUAUUAAAGGAAUGGACGUGUCUCUUUUA